CCUACGGGAGGCAGCAGUGGGGAAUAUUGGACAAUGGGGAAAACCCUGAUCCAGCAAUGCCGCGUGAGCGAUGAAGGCCUUAGGGUUGUAAAGCUCUUUUACCCGGGAUGAUAAUGACAGUACCGGGAGAAUAAGCCCCGGCUAACUCCGUGCCAGCAGCCGCGGUAAU
rnacentral:rRNA from 1 species